AGUGAACGCUGGCGGUAGGCCUAACACAUGCAAGUCGAACGGCAGCACAGUAAGAGCUUGCUCUUACGGGUGGCGAGUGGCGGACGGGUGAGGAAUACAUCGGAAUCUACUUUUUCGUGGGGGAUAACGUAGGGAAACUUACGCUAAUACCGCAUACGACCUACGGGUGAAAGCAUGGGAUCUUCGGACCUUGCGCGAUUGAAUGAGCCGAUGUCGGAUUAGCUAGUUGGCGGGGUAAAGGCCCACCAAGGCGACGAUCCGUAGCUGGUCUGAGAGGAUGAUCAGCCACACUGGAACUGAGACACGGUCCAGACUCCUACGGGAGGCAGCAGUGGGGAAUAUUGGACAAUGGGCGAAAGCCUGAUCCAGCCAUACCGCGUGGGUGAAGAAGGCCUUCGGGUUGUAAAGCACUUUUGUUGGGAAAGAAAAGCAGCAGGUUAAUACCCCGCUGUUUUGACGGUACCCAAAGAAUAAGCACCGGCUAACUUCGUG
rnacentral:rRNA from 1 species